GACGAACGCUGGCGGCGUGCUUAACACAUGCAAGUCGAGCGGAGCGGCGAACGGGUGAGUAACGCGUGAGUAACUGCCCCCCUCUCUGGGAUAACAGUUGGAAACGGCUGCUAAUACCGGAUAGUGGGGGAUGACUCGCGUCCUAUCAGCUUGUUGGUGGGGUAGGGGCCUACGAAGGCGACGACGGGUAGACGGCCUGAGAGGGCGACCGGCCACAUUGGUCUAAGAUGCUGCCCAAAGUCCUACGGGAGGCAUCGGUGGUGAAUAGUGCACCAUGGGGGAAGCCCUGAUGCAGCAACGCCGCGUGCGGGAUGACGGCCUUCGGGUUGUAAACCGCUUUCAGCCAUGACGCGGUAGUGGCAGAAGAAGCACCGGCUAACUACGUGCCAGCAGCCGCGGUAAUUC
rnacentral:rRNA from 1 species